GGGGGUGUUUCGGUUUCGACUGGCGGAAGAUCAGGCCAGUGGCUGCAAGCGGAGCGCCAACUCCUAAAACUAGCAAAAACAUUUAACUGCCAAAAAAGAAGACGAAGUCUCCUUCGAAGCAGAAUACGCUCUCGCUGCGUAACAGCACGAGGACGUACAGGCCCGUCUGCUGCCGCUCUUAAGCAACGGAUACCUGUAAAAGUAAGAGCUUACCCAACCCAGUGCCUAUGGGGGGAGGGGACAUUAAAGUAGGCUACAAAGAGCGGACGUUUUGCCGGUGAACCUAACGCACUUUGGAAAUUUUGAUCACCAGCUAAGCUUGUAGACGUCCCUGGGUGGCACGUUAGGACGGGGGUUCGAAUCCCCCCACCUCCAGAA
rnacentral:tmRNA from 1 species